CAGGUUACAAGAGAUAUUUCAGGGAGGGACUAAUGAUGACGUCACUGAGACCUGCCAUGGCCUAAUACCUAAACAGUUUUCCUUACACUGAUCAGAUUUGGAGUGCCCUUUCCAGAUGGGAGGGUAGCGUUAUUGUCCUCUGCAACGCUCCACCAAGCAGCCGACUGACACAGAAGCAGAGGCACAGGGCUUGAUAUCAGAUGGAGCUCAGUGAGUCUCACUGAAAAGCUGAGGGAAGGACUGAGAGAGGCAGAGUUGCACAAUGGUCUUCACGUGGGGUCACUAACCCGUCGCCUGUCUGUGGAUCCUGUUCUCCUACCCGGGCUGCGUUUUCAAGAGCUGGUUGAUGGAUCUUUCUCUUUUCCUAAGAAAAGGCCACUCUGGUUCUCAACUCACUCUUGAAGCCGUGACAGGAGACAUUCACAUCUCAUUCCUUAAGGACUAUACAAAAGGUUUGCUCAAAGUCAUCUGCAGAUACAUCUUUUUUAGGAAUGAAUCCUUCGCACUGGAGACCAGAGAAGAGACCUGCAGUUGCAUUAUUAAUAAACAUCAAAGCAAAAUAUAAAAGUCUGAAUGGAAUAAAUAUUUUAGGACAGUGUUUUGCAAGCAAAUUCUUUCAUAGACAGUCUUUGAAGAGCUCUGAAAUUUUGCAUUUCAUAUUUGACUUUUCUGGGACUCUGACUAGAAUCAACUCACAACUGUUUGGGAUUUUCUUGGCAAUUAACCAGUUUGUGAACAGAGCUGAAUUUAUCAUAUGCUCUUCCAUCUACAUUAAUAUUGCUACAGUGAGGAACAACUAUGGUAAAACUCUUCAUCUGACUUUUCAAACAGCAUCCUCAUACCACUGCGGACUU